CAUAAAGACCCUUAGAACAAAAGGAAGAUUUCUUUUGGAGCUCUUUCUGUCUGUAGUCACUGUGCAGUUCCAGAUUCUAAGCUGCCUCUGAGCCCAAGACAAGACAGGAGAACAGAAGUGUGGAUAAGGGGAAACUCACCACCAGCUCGGGGUUACCUCAGACCCAGGUCUUCGGAAAGUGGGCUGUGAAAGCAGGCUUACGCAUGUGGUAAAACUGAAGCUCAGAACAUCUCAGUGACCUGCACAAGAUGAAAGAAAAUGAGGGACAGAAUGAUCUAGUUGCUUGCUUAAGAUCGUAAAGCUUGUAAUCAGUGGUGGAGCCAGUUCUAAACCAGAAUCUGAUUCUAAAAACAAUCACUCAGUACUACAAACUCUACUUCUUCCCUGGGCACCUGACACAGCAUCACAGAUGAAAUCAUCUCAGCUGAAUCAACGGAAAGGCUAUAGAUCUGAUAAGAGAAUUUAGAAGGAACACUGAAUACAAGCUCCACUCACAAGAAUCAAUAAUUUUCCUCUACAUCAGCAAUAAUCAACUAAAAAAUAUAACAAAAUCUCUGAUGUCAUUCACAAUAGCAAUCAGCUUCACAAGGAAGCAGAAAAUGGAACACAGAUUUAAAUCACCGGAGAAGAAAGCAUGGCACCAAAAGGCCAGAGCAUUAAAAGGAAAAGGAAUACAUUGAUUUCUUCAGAUGUUUUUGCAAAUGAGGAGUAACUAAGGGUUUGCAGGUGAUUGCAAGAAGGAGUUAUCCAGUGGUACAAGCUUCUUAGACAGGAUGUUUUAGAGGGAGAGAGAAAAUUAUAUAGAAAAUGAUUUGAGAAACAGCCCUUUGGGAGUCUCUUCGGCUUUUGCCUGUCUUGCAAGCAAGCCAACUGCAUUUUUCAAGGAUGCUGUAUAGCAGUUUUGGAAGACUGAAAUAACAAAGCUCAGAUUUGUCUGUGGUGCAUUACAAUAAAAUUAAUAUUUCCCUUUAGGGCAAAGAUCAGGCAGGCUUAUUAACCAUUUUAAAAGAUGUGUGUUCCCUAAAUUCAGGGUUUCUCUUCUGUGACAGCUCCCCACAUAUGCAUCUGUCACCUGACCUUUAUGUCAUACUAGAAAUUAGAUUUCAAGGAGCUGGCACAAGAAAAAUGAUGAUAUUCUGGCCACUGCUAUCACUGAGGAUAAUAAACUAUCCUUAGGUCGCUCAUGUCCUAUGCCAGCGUCCGUGAAACGACAGCAAGCUGGGUAAAAUAUCAGUCCCUUCUGAGUCAUCUCCAAGCCCAGUAAUAGAAGUGGGUGGGUAAGAAAAAUCCCUACCAAAUGUGUGGGAUUCGCUUUGUUGGACUGUCUACUGGCAGAUUGUGGUGAGUGAGUGUGGUGGGGGAAGAGGAGCAGGAAAGCUUCCAGAAGCCUACAGAGUUCUGAGAACUCCUCUUCGUUCCAGGAGCACAUGACGCUCCCUUCAUUUUGACCUGUUCACUGUGAACAAUGAAGCUAUAGACUCCAGGGAAUGGAGAUUCUACCUACAUCUCAUGGAAACUUGAGUCUUUCUUACUUAGUCUUUUCCUGUAAUUUCUUUGCAUCUUUACAAAAUCAAAAGCAGCAAGAAAUUUGAUUAUAUUUUGUCAAACAACCUGUAAUGGUAUAAAAUAUGUGAAUCCCUGUUCCAAUUCCAAUUUAAAUAGUUUUCAUUCUUUUUUUGAUUCUUUUUUAACCUGGCCACCUAUUCAACGUGUCAUUUCUGCCCUUAGAACUCGGCAAUCAAUUUUCUGUUUUCUCAGAAGGAUUUUCAUCAAACUUGUCUUUUAUCUUUACAGAUUUCUUAUUAAUCCAGAAUAGGAUCAUUCUGUUCCUUCAGGGUCUGACAACUUUUCUUAGCUAGGCAGCCUGGCCAGGCUGGACAGGACUUCCACAGAGAAUCCCACAGCACAUGAAAGCAGACUUGGUGACUGAGCAGAGGCCCCAGAUUGGUUGAGAACAUGAAAGCCUCUCAGUGUAUUGUGAGAAACUCUCAGCACAAAGCAAUAGGAGGGGUGGAUGGUGGGAAGUAACUGCAGUGUGGGAGACAGAGAGGGAUAAAGUAGUGAGAAAGAAGGAAGUAACCGUGGAAGAAACUGAAAUUUGUUUCUCAUUAUGAUUUAGCACUGUUCAGCACGUGAUCUGUGAGUGUCACAGUCAGUUGGUGAGGAUGGUGAGGCAGCCACCCUCAAGUGACCUAGCAAGGGCAGGAAAUAGAAAAUGGGACCCCAGUUAGUGUUGGACUGAGGAAUAGCUAAGUGGUAGACAAGAUGACUAUGAAAGUACUGAACGCUAAAAGGGAAAGUUCCUCCCUUCUUUCACAAUUAUAAAUAAACAAAAAGACAAUAUAUUAGAACUUUGAUCAUUUAUAUGAGGGAGCCUGCCAACUUUGCAUGCCAGCUAUUGACAACGUUACAUUUAUUGUUUGAUAUUACUUCUUACUAUUCCAUCUUCAUAUUAUCAGGAGUAUUUUUAAAGAAUGAUAAUUAAGGAAAGAACCUUGAUCAAUUCUGUGGAAUUGUUUUUGUAUACUGCAUAUCAAACAAACUGAUUAUCCUGAUACACUUAUUAUUUCAAAUAAAAUAGAUAUUCAUUUCUCCCUUACAUAAUAACUCAGGGGUGCACAU